UCUGUUUACACAAGAGAUACCUCACACAUUUGCUACAACCAGCCUGAUUUGAAUUUCCUUGCUACUUAACACCGAUGUACAGCCGGCACUUUACAAACACUCAUAUCAAUCUGUGACUGAAUGACAACAGAAGAAAUCCUGAAAAUGUUGGAAACAUUUAAUAAAGGACCAUAAUACGUAUUUGAAACUUAGUAAAUUAAAUAAAAAUGAACAAAAAACAUGCCUAACUAUGGAUACCGAAAUCUAAAAGCAGCAAAAUAAAAGCUGUAACGGGCUGUGGAGGGGGUUGCUCUCACCGAGCUGCAAGAUUCUGCCUCUUCCCCUCAGAGAACCAACAAACUUCACGUGGACCCCCCAUCUCCUAAGGAAGUCUCACAGACCCCGAGAUGGAAAUACCUGCCUUGAAAUCCAUUGCUUUUCCCGCCUCCAAAAUACACUGUAUUCAUAAACUUUGUAAAAGUAUUGUGAAAAGUAUUCAACUUGAAUGUUACAGUAUUUGCAAUAAAAUUUAACUUCUCCAAUCA